rnacentral:tRNA from 1 species
GUGCCAGCAGCUCGACUGGUCCGAGCACCGGAACGUGGCUCCGGCGGUUGCGGGUUCGAAUCCCGUCUGGCACCCC